UGAGACUCAGCUCAGAAGCGUGUGAGCUCCGGGAAGGACAGCCCAUUCAGGGACCAGCAAACUUUGACUCCUUCCUGCUCUGUCGCUCUCCUUCCUUACAUGCACUCUUGGAAGAAAACAAAACUGUGUAACGAUAUCCCCAAAGGACACCAUGGAAGCCAUCCAGCUGCCUCCUUUUAACCAGUGAAGAAAUGGGGGCUGGCAAAGGUUCCAAGAGUGACUGUGAGCCACAGCACCAGGAGAAAAAGCCUCCCAACUCCCUGUGUGCAUUCACAUUUGAAACGACUUAAAAUUGUGAAACAAAAGAUUAAUCCUGGGGCUGAAUUUUGAAGUGUUACGAUGACUUCCUUUUUGUGGGUCCAGUAGUUGAUCCGAUUUCUUAAAGUCAAGUGCCUGAAGUUAUAUUUCCUCUGUACUAUUCUCUGAAGAGUAUCAAGCCGGUUUCCAGACUCUACCUAGGGGAACAUCUGCUGAGCUUUUUACAAUCUAAAGUCAGAUCUCUCUGAGGAGAAAAGAGAACACUGAAUGCCAUAAAUAAACAGAAUGAAAAAGGAUCUGAGGCAGCAUAGAAAUCAUGCCUCUUGCUCACGUGGGAUAAAUCCUCCACGGAGCUACAGUGAAUCAACAGAUUGCACUCCCUGUGCACUGGUGUCCACCGAAGCCUGUUUAGCAUACCCAGGAAACUACUCAGAAGAUCUCAGUACGCUGCAGUAACAACAUGUGGCACUUACCAACAUGAAUUUGCACUUUUUGUGAAAUGGCCAUACUUCCACAAAGGAGGACAAGCGCACAUCAGAGCUUCGCCUUGAUUGUACGUCUGGUUUAGUGUCUUCAUUUUAUAACAUCCAAUAGAUGAAUGUUUGUACUUUCUUAUGAUGGCCACUAGGAUAAAUAAAGUGUACCGGAUGUUCGUUUAA